rnacentral:lncRNA from 1 species
UCCCUCAACGCCUGUCUUCCCUCGCGCGUAGAGAGUGACUCGAAGGACCCCCUCUCCUCUUCGCUGCAGCCCCUCCCCAUGCACGCUGGGAGACUCUUGGAGGGGAUAAGGUGGGGCCCGGAGAGGAAGAGAAGACAAUCGGAUUGGAUAGGCAGCUGCCAUGGCAACUGGAGGCUGUGGUUAUAUUGUCAUAGUAACCGAUGUGUGCGGACAGGGUCACCCUCCCCUUGGCCAAUGGAUUCCCAGGAAACCACCCAGGGUUCCCCGUUGGCUUCCCUUCCAUCUAAAGGCCUCCCCCAAGUUAGGAAUCGAUAUAGUUCUCCCCGGUGGUGAAGUCCACUUCCUCCUCCCUUCCCACUUCCCACAGCAACUGGGGGGACACCCCGAGGCAUUCACCAUGGGCUUUUCCACCCGCCUGCGAGCGGGAACCACCUCCGUAGUUUCCUCUCAGAGCCGGGCGUGGAGAGGGCUGGGCCUGCGAAGAGGAUGCAUGGCCUGGAGGCUGGCGGGCGGCGGGCUGGAGUCGGGAGGGCGAGGCGACAGCGCCAAGCGGCGAGGAAGGGCAAGGGGUUUCCCCACAACUGCCUUGGGCUCUGGGAGGCGGGAUCCCGCCUGGACGGGGUCCCUGAGGGAGGAGAGCGGCACACGACAGCCGCGAUGCCUUCCCUGCCGACGGGGAUAGCCGACUUCUGGCGAGUCGACCCCUCCCCCAAAUCCACCCCACCCGCGUACUCCCUCCUGACCUAGCUGUCGCGAGCCUGCCGCGAGGAGGCCAGGGUGAGGGUGGGAACACAUCCUAGAAGGCUAACACGUGGUUUUCUAUCAUUUAAGCCGGGGACAAGCCGGAAGGCUGACUAGCGCCAUCACUCUGAUAGGCACCCCGCAGUGGGGAUCCUGCUUGAUUAUUAAAGGCAGACCUCCAAGUUCCUCCCUGCUCUGCAACCUUUCUCUUCUCACGGGUCUGCAGUGUUUUAAAAGUCGUCAUUCUGUGUCGUUGAGUUAGAGAGGAAAACAUCGGAUAAAAGAGGAUCAAGAAGAACGAACCCUAGAUACAUCUGUCUGGUGAAAGGAGUCUAGGAAAAGAAGUUUCAUUCUUAGAACAAAUCUUUUUGGAUAUUUAUUAUGUGUGUUUUGUGUCAGGUUUCGGGCCAAAAAGCUGAAAUAAAGAACGAAGUCAAUAAUAAUAUGAAGUGUAUGAGAAAUAGCUGGAAAAUUCAUCAUCCAUGACUUGAAGAAAUUGACGUUUUACAAGUUAUAUUUUCGGUGAAGAGGCACUUUCAAGAUCCUUCUCUGAGACCUGCACCAAUAAGACUAUACCAAUGUUCAGUUGAAACAUCAGACACUGUUCUGGUUAUGAUGGACACCACAGUGAAAGAGACCUGGUCCCUGCCUUGAGGAAACCCAACUGCUGGUAGAGAGCUCAGAGUAAUGAUUAGGAUGCAAUAUGAGGGAUGCAGUAAUUGGGGCAAUUCCUAUGGCUCUAAUGCAGUAUCAGGCACUAAUACUUAUGUAUGAGCAAAAAUUGAUGAGGAUGAUCAUGUUUUAAUACACCAGUACAGACCAAAAUGCCUCUUUGGUAAUUUUCAGAUCUACUUCUGGGAACCGUCACAGCCUGAGAAAGAUGGCAUGCCCUGAAUGGAAUUCACAGAGAAUUAUUUUAAGUCAUGCUACUGGCCCCGCCCAGUUAUGUAACAACUUGCAUUUCCUCAAUUCUCUGGAAUGUGGCCAGUCAGGAACUUCCACAUUUGGUUUUUUUUUUUUCCCCCAUUUGUGGGUAAGAAAGUAAAAGAGGCAGGAAAACUGAAUUGAGAAAGAAGAAAGAAUAGGGGAAGAGAGAAAGAAAAAAGAAAACCAUGAAGCCUGGAAGAGGAGAAAGAAGAGAUAGAUGAGCAAAGAAGCACAUUGCCUGGUGGUAGUAAUAGUUGUCAGACACCCAUCUAUUAUAAUCUGUUUUCCAUGGGAGAUUUUAAGAAGAGGCUAGAUCCCCAGUCUGUCUUAAAAUCAAGAAAAGGGACUCUGUUGCCUCUAAAGUAUACUUCCAGACUCAGCAAUCUCUAAAUUCUGAGUGGGGCAUCCCUAGUUUUGCUGCCUAAAAUCUAUGACAGUUGGAAAUGAUUCCAUUUAAGAUCCAGUUCAAGAAGCUAUACACCCUGAGGAACUUUAUAUUGCCAUUUAGAGGACCGAUAUUCUCCAGAUUGCUUGAGCCCAGGAGUUUGAGACCAGCCUGGGCAACAUGGCAAAACUCCAUCUCUACCAAAAAAAAAAAAAAAACAAAAUUAGCUGGGCAUGGUGGUACACAUCUGUAGAACCAGCUACUCUGGAGGCUGAGCUGAGAGAACCCCUUGAGCCUAGGAGAUGGAGGUUGCUGUGAGCCAAGAUCGUGCCACUGCACUCAAGCCUGGGUGACAGAGCCAGACCCUAUCUCAUAAAUAAAUAAAUGUCAAUAUUCUCCAAAAAAAAAAAAAAAA